GAUGAACGCUGGCGGCGUGCCUAAUACAUGCAAGUCGAGCGAACGGACGAGAAGCUUGCUUCUCUGAUGUUAGCGGCGGACGGGUGAGUAACACGUGGAUAACCUACCUAUAAGACUGGGAUAACUUCGGGAAACCGGAGCUAAUACCGGAUAAUAUUUUGAACCGCAUGGUUCAAAAGUGAAAGACGGUCUUGCUGUCACUUAUAGAUGGAUCCGCGCUGCAUUAGCUAGUUGGUAAGGUAACGGCUUACCAAGGCAACGAUGCAUAGCCGACCUGAGAGGGUGAUCGGCCACACGGGAACUGAGACACGGUCAAGACUCCUACGGGAGGCAGCAGUAGGGAAUCUUCCGCAAUGGGCGAAAGCCUGACGGAGCAACGGCGCGUGAGUGAUGAAGGUCUUCGGAUCGUAAAACUCUGUUAUUAGGGAAGAACAUAUGUGUAAGUAACUGUGCACAGCUUGACGGUACCUAAUCAGAAAGCCACGGCUAACUACGUG
rnacentral:rRNA from 1 species